GGCUUUCUGAAUUCGUAAGAUUUCGUCAAACACCAACCCACCAAGACUGAUGAUACUACUAAGAUAAGUGAAAUU
rnacentral:pre_miRNA from 1 species